UCCUGCAUUGGGCUCCUUGCAGGGAACCUGCUUCAUCCUCUACCUGUGUCUCUGCCUCUCUCUCUGUGUCAUAUGAUUUUGGGCUGGACACGAGAACUCUUUACAAGCAAUUUGAGGAAGGUCUAUAUUUAUCCAAAACAAGCUAACAAGUCCUACCAAGCUGUCACUCUCCCCAUAUUCAUUGCAUAAUAUGUUAAAGGUGCAGGAAGAAAAGUCUCUGACUAGUCCUACUGCUUCAGAAGACCAGUCACCAUGGUUUCUACCAAUAGUAAUGAGAGAGCUUAUCUCUUGGCUUCAUUGUUGUCUCGAAAACACAAGCAAAUACACCUGGGAAGAUUCAAGAAGCUACUGUUUGGAUAGUUACACCAAAAUCAAAGAUCCAAGUCUAUAUAUGCUACAGGCCCAAGAAGAUUAAAAUGACCCGGGAGCAGCCAUACAUGAUAGUUCAGCACAACACUUGAUACCACCUUUGGGGAACAUGGCCUCUAACCCUGCAAAAUCCAGUGUUGGAAAAUAGAAUACUCAAAGUCAUUCAGUUAGGUCAUGGGGAGAAAUGAGCCAUCCCUCACCCUAGUCACAGCCAUCUGGUUUCCUUCUACAGCCUGCUAUCUCACUAAAGCUAAAGGAACAAGCUGAUCUGCUGGGAGCAAAUCAAUUUCUCAUUAUCCGUAAUGUGUGAAGAUGAAACUACUGACAGUGAUCACAGUCUUUGUCUAUGGAUAGGGUUGAAAACUCGUGUUUACAUAACAGAAAAUGUUUUCAUAUAGAAGAGAUGGAAUAGGCAUACAUGGCUGUGGGAUGCUGUGUCUUAAUGUGGAAGCUAAUUCCUCUCAACAAAUAAACUUAGUAUUUCUCUACAUACAGGGCUAACAUGCCUCUUUCUGAGAAUGUGGAGGAAUUUGAAAGAGGAAUGCAUUUAUCAAAUUCUUCAGAGUGCUUGAAAGUAUCUGUCUGACUGAUUUUAGAGAUGAGGGAAGUUUUCCCAUGAAGAGGAGUUCCCAGUAUAAUCCAUAAUAAAGGCGGGUGGUGCUUCACUUCUCAUCUCAAUCAUGCUGACUGGCGGAACUGAUAAAUAUAUCAUGGAAUUUCUAAGUGGUGGGAAUAUGGCAGAAAAGAUACAGCAAUAGGGAAUCGGAAAAGAAUAUGGAUUAUUUUCAUUUUUUAUUUGAUACUUGGGAUUUUUGGUUUCUUCUGACCUUAAGGAAGAUGCUGAAAGGUACACAAGACAUGGAUUGACUCAUCAGCUCCCCAAAAGGCUACAUAGUAAAACCAUUAAGUCCUUCCAUAGAAGUUAUGAAGUGGACGUCUGUCUAAGGGUAGGCAGGAGGAAUGUGUUAUUUCUAGAUUCAGGAAGCACUGGAGAGAGUAUCCAACUUAGUGCUUGUAGACUUUUCAAUAUAUGCUAGAAAGCCAGGAGUUACACACUUUCAGAAGCAACUUGAGAUGGGGUAGGAACAUAAGCUACAGUUGAAAGGAAUCAGUGGAAAAAUGAACACAAGGCAGCAUGCAAACUCACAUUUCUCACCUGAAACCUAUUUAAGUAGACUUCUCUUCCUUCUUGGUUGUCACUGUGAAAUAAAGAACAAAUGUUAAGCCUUUUCUGUGAUCCCCUGAAUUUACACAGUAAUCACAAGGAGAGGAAGUUCAGAAAUAUUUUUUUAAUUGAGAUGUAACUGACAUGUAACAUUAUAUUAAUUUCAAAUGUACAGCAUGAUUUGAUAUUGUGUCUACUGUGAAAUGAUUACUCCAAUAAGACUGGUCAGCAUCUGUUACCAUACAUAGUUAUACAAUGUUUUUUCUUGUAAUGAGAACUUUGAAAAUCUAUUCUCUAAGAAAAAAAACCUAGUCUUAUAGCAACUUUCAAAUAUGCGGUACAGUAUCAACUAGUCACAGUGCUGUACAUUAAUCCCCAUGACUUCUUUAUUUUAUAAUCCCCUUUACCUAUUUCACACCCCCCACCCCCACCUCUGAUAACCACCAAUCUCUUCUCUGUAUUUAUGAGAUUUUUUUUAGAUUCUGCAUAUGAGUGAGAUCAUAUAAGGCUAUAUAUAGCCUUUGCAGAAAUAGUCUAUUCCUCAGAUUGCAUAAUCUCAAUUAGCCUAUCUUCAAGUUCACUUAUUCUUUCUUUUGUCAACUUAAAUCUGCAGGUGAACCUAUCUGGUGGAUUUUUUUUUUUUCUGUUGUCACCCCUUUUAGGUCUAGAAUUUCUAUGUGUUUCUUUCUCUUUUUUGAUUUUUCCUAUUUGAUGAAACAUCCUCCUAAUACUUGCCUUUGGUUCUUUAGACAUGGUUUCUUUUUUAAUUAAUUGAAUACACUUAAAUUAUUUAAAGUCUUUGUUUAAAGCUUUAUUCAAAAUUUAAUGUCUGGUCUUCAUCAGGAACCAUUUCUAUCAACUGUUUUCUUUUGGGGGGGCAUAGGUCAUAUUUCAUUGUUCCUUUGAGUAUCUCAUAAGUUUUGUUUCAACAAAACUUUUUAUAAUAAAUUUGGCAUAUAAAUAAAUUUUUAAUAAUAAAUUUAGCAAUGCUGGAAACCAGGUCUCUAUUUUUCCCAGGGUUUAUUGUUGCUGUUUGUUGUUGUGGUUAUGAUUGCUGUCAUGGCUGUUGUUUCCUUAGUGACUAUUCUAGGUUAAUUCUGUAAAGUUUAUUUUCUUUGUCAUUUUGUGACUAUUGAAAUCUGUUUACUUGGUUAUUGGUCAGCAAAUGACUGGAUAGAGCUUUCUUUAAAUGGCUAUCACCAUAAAUCUCCCAAUCUCUGCUGAGGAGCUUAUGAGUGUUUAAAUUCUGUUUUGUUCUUUAAUUUCUGGUUGUGUAGAGAUUUGAGAUCAGUGAGAGAUGAGCCUUUAGGGCAUUCUCAGGUCUUCUUGAGAACCAGGGGCAUGUGCACAGCUCUUCACAUGUCCGUGGCCUCCUAGAUUCCUAGAAAUAUGUCAGAGCUUCUCAAACUGUCCUAUGGACAUAUCUCAUUUACCUUUUAAAUAUGUUAGUAAGCUUGUUGUUUGUUCUCACUGUUAACUGCUGUCCCAGGAAUCUGCAAUGUUAAACAAUUGUCACUGAUUUUUUUCAACAAAUUCCCCAUGGAAGAGGCUGCCACAU